CAUGAGCAAUGCACUAUCGAUGUAGCUAUCCGAAGCUAUCAGAAAGUGUUGGACCGUUCUGGACACAUCUGUCUGAUGAGCAAUCCGGUAGCAUUAUGAAGAAUGUCUAUUCAUCUGCUGCACAGCCAUUGGCCACCUUGGACAGUCCUAAGAAAUGUUUGUUUUAUGCUUCUCAAAAGUACAAAGACACCUGGGGAGGAUGUUGACAAAAGACCAGAGGUGAUUGAAGAAUCUGUUCGCGAUGCCACACUCUCCCGUACAAACACAGACCAUGGAAAUGUCUGGUACCUCAGGGAGGCAAACAACACUCCAUUGUCUUCUCAGCAGGUUCUCCCACAAAAAGAUUGUCUCCCAUCUUUUGAAUCACAGACAUCUGAACGACUUACUGCAUUCUAUUUAGAAAAGUUCACAUCCUGAUUGACAACUCUUGACUUUGUCGUGAUCAUUUGAUAAUGAGCUCGUAAUUAUGCUGCAGUGUUUUUCAAACUUGCAAGUAAGGAUUACCUGCAAUUUUGCUCUUUGU